rnacentral:tRNA from 2 species
GUCCACGUGGCGAAAUUGGUAGACGCGCUACCUUGAGGUGGUAGUGAGAAUUAUUCUCUUGCUGGUUCAAAUCCAGUCGUGGACA